rnacentral:tRNA from 2 species
UGGCCGAUAGUAUAAUGGUAGUACAGCAGGUUUUGGUCCUGUUCGUCAGGGUUCGAAUCCUUGUCGGCCAA